AGUGAACGCUGGCGGUAGGCCUAACACAUGCAAGUCGAACGGCAGCACAGUAAGAGCUUGCUCUUACGGGUGGCGAGUGGCGGACGGGUGAGGAAUACAUCGGAAUCUACUUUUUCGUGGGGGAUAACGUAGGGAAACUUACGCUAAUACCGCAUACGACCUACGGGUGAAAGCAGGGGAUCUUCGGACCUUGCGCGAUUGGAUGAGCCGAUGUCGGAUUAGCUAGUUGGCGGGGUAAAGGCCCACCAAGGCGACGAUCCGUAGCUGGUCUGAGAGGAUGAACAGCCCCACUGGAACUGAGACACGGUCCAGACUCCUACGGGAGGGAGCAGUUGGGAAUAUUGGACCAUGGGCGCAAGCCUGAUCCAACCAUACCGCGUGGGUUAAGAAGGGCUUUCGGUUGUUAAACCCCUUUGUUGGGGAAGAAAAGCCGCAGGUUAAUAACCCGCUGUUCCGGAGGUACCCAAAGGAUAAGCACCGGCUAACCUCGUG
rnacentral:rRNA from 1 species